CAGGGUUUUUUCAGGAUUUUCUCUUGGGUCCGUUUUUGCAGAGAAGAUUGAGUUUAGCUGAACAGCUGGGGUGGCUGCACCCCCCCCCCCCCCCCACCGGGGGCUGACACCUGUACUCAAUAAAUGUAGUUGGGACGGAAUGUGUUAAAGCAGGGGCACUAAGGGACACUAUAAACUGGUUAAAGAUGGCGAAUGCAUAGUUUUUCUUGUGUUGUGAGAUGAAUUCCAGCCAUUUUUUUUAAUUGACAGGUUUCCAACUGAAAACUAAUUUCCACACGUCACAAAUUUAGCUCAAUCAACUUCAUUUUACUGCACUGAAACUUUGGUGAGAAGAUUGAGUUUCAAAAUUAAAUUCAAGAUUGAGUUUUUGGG